GCUGCCCCAGGAGUCACUGCAGGUGUGGCUGCUGUGUCACAUGUGUGUCAGUUGGUGGCCGAGAAGAGAGAGGCUAUGUUUAUGCUCAGUGUCCUGCAAUGUGGACAUCUAAGUGAUAAAUGGCCUAAAACU